rnacentral:tRNA from 1 species
GGUAAAAUGGCUGAAAAUAGGCAAUAAACUGUAAAUUUAUUUAUGAAUUUAACUUCUUUUACCA